CCUACGGGAGGCAGCAGUGGGGAAUAUUGCGCAAUGGGCGAAAGCCUGACGCAGCGACGCCGCGUGAGGGAUGAAGGUCCUCGGAUCGUAAACCUCUGUUAGCAGGGAAGAACGGUCACUGGGUUAAUCAGCAGUGAAUUGACGCUACCUGCAAAGGAAGCACCGGCUAACUCCGUGCCAGAAGCCGCGGAAAUACGGAGGGUGCGAGUGUUAAUCGGAAUGACUGGGGGUAAAGCGCUCGUAGGCGGUAUGUCAAGUCAAGGGUGAAAUCCCCGUGCUCAACGUGGGAACUGCGUUUGAAACUGGCAAACUGGAGUGAGUGAGAGGAAGGUGGAAUUCCGGGUGUAGGGGUGAAAUGCGUAGAUAUCUGGAGGAACAUCAGUGGCGAAGGCGACUUUCUGGCAAAUAACUGACGCUGAGGCGCGAAAGCGUGGGUAGCAAACAGGAUUAGAUACCCUUGUAGUC
rnacentral:rRNA from 1 species